CAAUAGCGUAUAUUAAAGUUGUUGCAGUUAAAAAGCUCGUAGUUGGAUUUCUGGUAGGAGCGACCGUGCCGAACUUGAUUGUUCGAGUAUUGUGUUGUCUUCAGCCAUCCUCGUGGAGAACUUUUCUAACAUUAACUUGUUGGGAUUGGGACCCGCGUCGUUUACUGUGAAAAAAUUAGAGUGUUUAAAGCAGGCAUUAGCUUGAAUGCAUUAGCAUGGAAUAAUAAGAUAGGACUUUGGUACUAUUUUGUUGGUUUGCAUACCAAAUUAAUGAUCAACAGGAACAGUUUGAGGAUAUUCGUAUGAACAUGUCAGAGGUGAAAUUCUUGGAUUUUGAUCAGACGAACUACUGCGAAAGCAUUUAUCAAGGAUGUUUUCAUUAA
rnacentral:rRNA from 1 species